rnacentral:rRNA from 1 species
AUUGAACGCUGGCGGCAGGCCUAACACAUGCAAGUCGAGCGGAUGAAGAGAGCUUGCUCCCUGAUUCAGCGGCGGACGGGUGAGUAAUGCCUAGGAAUCUGCCUGGUAGUGGGGGACAACGUCUCGAAAGGGACGCUAAUACCGCAUACGUCCUACGGGAGAAAGCAGGGGACCUUCGGGCCUUGCGCUAUCAGAUGAGCCUAGGUCGGAUUAGCUAGUUGGUGAGGUAAUGGCUCACCAAGGCGACGAUCCGUAACUGGUCUGAGAGGAUGAUCAGUCACACUGGAACUGAGACACGGUCCAGACUCCUACGGGAGGCAGCAGUGGGGAAUAUUGGACAAUGGGCGAAAGCCUGAUCCAGCCAUGCCGCGUGUGUGAAGAAGGUCUUCGGAUUGUAAAGCACUUUAAGUUGGGAGGAAGGGUUGUAGAUUAA